rnacentral:rRNA from 1 species
CCUACGGGCGGCAGCAGUAGGGAAUCUUUCACAAUGGGCGAAAGCCUGAUGGAGCAACGCCGCGUGCAGGAUGAAGGCCUUCGGGUUGUAAACUGCUUUUAUAAGCGAGAAAUAUGAUGGUAACUUAUGAAUAAGGAUCGGCUAACUACGUGCCAGCAGCCGCGGUCAUACGUAGGGUCCGAGCAUUAUCCGGAGUGACUGGGUGUAAAGAGUUGCGUAGGUGGGAUAAUAAGUAGCUAGUGAAAUCUGGUGGCUCAACCAUUCAGACUAUUAGCUAAACUGUUAAGCUCGAGACCGUUAGGGGUAACUGGAAUGUCUAGUGUAGGAGUGAAAUGCGUAGAUAUUAGGAGGAACACCAAUAGCGUAGGCAGGUUACUGGGACGGUUCUGACACUAAGGCACGAAAGCGUAGGGAGCAAACGGGAUUAGAGACCCGAGUAGUC